GACGAACGCUGGCGGCGUGCUUAACACAUGCAAGUCGAACGGAAAGGCCCUGCUUUUGUGGGGUGCUCGAGUGGCGAACGGGUGAGUAACACGUGAGUAACCUGCCCUUGACUUUGGGAUAACUUCAGGAAACUGGGGCUAAUACCGGAUAGGAGCUCCUGCUGCAUGGUGGUGGUUGGAAAGUUUCGGCGGUUGGGGAUGGACUCGCUGCUUAUCAGCUUGUUGGUGUGGUAGUGGCUGACCAAGGUUUUGACGGGUAGCCGGCCUGGGAGGGUGGCCAGGCACCUUGGGACUGCGAUACGGCCCAGAAUCCAACGGGCCGCAGCAGUGGAAAAUAUUGCACAGUGGGCCGACGCGUGAUACAGAAAUGCCGCGAGCGUGAUGACGGCCUUCGGGUUGUAAACCGCUUUCGCCUGUACCGAACAGUUAGUGACGGUAAUGGGUAAAGAAGCACCGGCUAACUACGUG
rnacentral:rRNA from 1 species